GGGGGCGUGGCGGAAUGGCAGACGCAAGGGAUUUAAAAUCCCUUGACCGACAGGUCGUGCGGGUUCGAGUCCCGCCGCCCCCACCA
rnacentral:tRNA from 1 species